rnacentral:rRNA from 1 species
UACGAAGGGGGCUAGCGUUGCUCGGAAUCACUGGGCGUAAAGGGUGCGUAGGCGGGUUUUAAGUCAGGGGUGAAAUCCUGGAGCUCAACUCCAGAACUGCCUUUGAUACUGAAGAUCUUGAGUCCGGGAGAGGUGAGUGGAACUCCGAGUGUAGAGGUGAAAUUCGUAGAUAUUCGGAAGAACACCAGUGGCGAAGGCGGCUCACUGGCCCGGUACUGACGCUGAGGUGCGAAAGCGUGGGGAGCAAACAGG